rnacentral:rRNA from 1 species
UACGGAAGGGGGCUAGCGUUGCUCGGAAUCACUGGGCGUAAAGGGUGCGUAGGCGGGUCUUUAAGUCAGGGGUGAAAUCCUGGAGCUCAACUCCAGAACUGCCUUUGAUACUGAGGAUCUUGAGUUCGGGAGAGGUGAGUGGAACUGCGAGUGUAGAGGUGAAAUUCGUAGAUAUUCGCAAGAACACCAGUGGCGAAGGCGGCUCACUGGCCCGGUACUGACGCUGAGGUGCGAAAGCGUGGGGAGCAAACAGG